UAUAUUUUAGUAUAAAAUGUACAUUAAAUUUUGAUUUUAAAAGAAAAGAUUACUAGUCUUUAAAUAUAA
rnacentral:tRNA from 3 species